AGGCGACGAUGUAUGUUCAACUAACUUUUCCUGCUUGGUGACGUUGAUCAGGAAAAAGCAGGAAAAGUUAGUUGAACAUACAUCGUCGCC